UACGUAGGGUGCAAGCGUUAUCCGGAAUCACUGGGCGUAAAGCGUGCGUAGGCGGCUAGGUAAGACAGGUGUGAAAUCCCCGGGCUUAACCUGGGGACUGCAUUUGUGACUGCAUAGCUAGAGUACGGCAGAGGGGGAUGGAAUUCCGCGUGUAGCAGUGAAAUGCGUAGAUAUGCGGAGGAACACCGAUGGCGAAGGCAAUCCCCUGGGCCUGUACUGACGCUCAUGCACGAAAGCGUGGGGAGCAAACAGG
rnacentral:rRNA from 1 species